GAGUGGCGAACUGGUGAGUAACACGUGGGAAACCUGCCCAGAAGCGGGGGAUAACACCUGGAAACAGAUGCUAAUACCGCAUAACAACUUGGACCGCAUGGUCCGAGCUUGAAAGAUGGCUUCGGCUAUCACUUUUGGAUGGUCCCGCGGCGUAUUAGCUAGAUGGUGGGGUAACGGCUCACCAUGGCAAUGAUACGUAGCCGACCUGAGAGGGUAAUCGGCCACAUUGGGACUGAGACACGGCCCAAACUCCUACGGGAGGCAGCAGUAGGGAAUCUUCCACAAUGGACGAAAGUCUGAUGGAGCAACGCCGCGUGAGUGAAGAAGGGUUUCGGCUCGUAAAACUCUGUUGUUAAAGAAGAACAUAUCUGAGAGUAACUGUUCAGGUAUUGACGGUAUUUAACCAGAAAGCCACGGCUAACUACGUGCCAGCAGCCGCGGUAAUACGUAGGUGGCAAGCGUUGUCCGGAUUUAUUGGGCGUAAAGCGAGCGCAGGCGGUUUUUUAAGUCUGAUGUGAAAGCCUUCGGCUCAACCGAAGAAGUGCAUCGGAAACUGGGAAACUUGAGUGCAGAAGAGGACAGUGGAACUCCAUGUGUAGCGGUGAAAUGCGUAGAUAUAUGGAAGAACACCAGUGGCGAAGGCGGCUGUCUGGUCUGUAACUGACGCUGAGGCUCGAAAGUAUGGGUAGCAAACAGGAUUAGAUACCCUGGUAGUCCAUACCGUAAACGAUGAAUGCUAAGUGUUGGAGGGUUUCCGCCCUUCAGUGCUGCAGCUAACGCAUUAAGCAUUCCGCCUGGGGAGUACGGCCGCAAGGCUGAAACUCAAAGGAAUUGACGGGGGCCCGCACAAGCGGUGGAGCAUGUGGUUUAAUUCGAAGCUACGCGAAGAACCUUACCAGGUCUUGACAUACUAUGCAAAUCUAAGAGAUUAGACGUUCCCUUCGGGGACAUGGAUACAGGUGGUGCAUGGUUGUCGUCAGCUCGUGUCGUGAGAUGUUGGGUUAAGUCCCGCAACGAGCGCAACCCUUAUUAUCAGUUGCCAGCAUUAAGUUGGGCACUCUGGUGAGACUGCCGGUGACAAACCGGAGGAAGGUGGGGAUGACGUCAAAUCAUCAUGCCCCUUAUGACCUGGGCUACACACGUGCUACAAUGGAUGGUACAACGAGUUGCGAACUCGCGAGAGUAAGCUAAUCUCUUAAAGCCAUUCUCAGUUCGGAUUGUAGGCUGCAACUCGCCUACAUGAAGUCGGAAUCGCUAGUAAUCGCGGAUCAGCAUGCCGCGGUGAAUACGUUCCCGGGCCUUGUACACACCGCCCGUCACACCAUGAGAGUUUGUAACACCCAAAGUCGGUGAGGAGUAACCUCUAGGAACCAGCCUA
rnacentral:rRNA from 1 species